rnacentral:lncRNA from 1 species
CAUGAACACUGAAGUUUGGAUUUCAUAUAACUUUUACCAAUCAGAUCUUCCUUUUUUCCCUUUCUAAAUCACUAAAAUAUUUAAAAACUACUCUUAUCUGUGGGCCAUCCAAAAAUAGGUGGUAGUUGGGUUUGGUCAGUGGGCUCUCAUCUCCUGACCCUGAUCUAGAAAACCAAGACUUUAAAUUGCGUCGUGUUUAUCCUUAAACCUCCUUGUUUGUUUUUUUUUAAAGUUUAUCUUUAAACCUCCCGGAGACAUUGAAGGGGCCAAAUGCAUAUAGUUCAAGAAGAUAAAAAUAAAUUAAAAAGAUGAAGGAAAAAAUAAGGCCAAGAAAGACAAACAAGGAAAAGGAGACAGAGCCAGGGAGAGGCACGUGGAGAGACUGUCUCAAAGGAAACGUGUUCUUGGGUCCACUGGGGUCCGGAGGUCUGUCUGUCUCUUGGCCUCAGGAGGAGGCCUGGCAGCACCGCACCAGCUGGCCUUGGGCUCUGGCUUCUCCAGAGUGCUUCCCCGGAAGUGCUUACAUCACGC